rnacentral:rRNA from 1 species
CCUACGGGAGGCAGCAGUAGGGAAUCUUCCACAAUGGACGAAAGUCUGAUGGAGCAACGCCGCGUGAGUGAAGAAGGGUUUCGGCUCGUAAAGCUCUGUUGGUAGUGAAGAAAGAUAGAGGUAGUAACUGGCCUUUAUUUGACGGUAAUUACUUAGAAAGUCACGGCUAACUACGGGCCAGCAGCCGCGGUAAUACGUAGGUGGCAAGCGUUGUCCGGAUUUCUUGGGCGUAAAGCGAGUGCAGGCGGUUCAAUAAGUCUGAUGUGACAGCCUUCGGCUCAACCGGAGAAUUGCAUCAGAAACUGUUGGACUUGAGUGCAGAAGAGGAGAGUGGAACUCCAUGUGUAGCGGUGGAAUGCGUAGAUAUAUGGAAGAACACCAGUGGCGAAGGCGGCUCUCUGGUCUGCAACUGACGCUGAGGCUCGAAAGCAUGGGUAGCGAACAGGAUUAGAUACCCGAGUAGUC